rnacentral:lncRNA from 1 species
UUUUUUUUUUUUUUGCUUUAAUUUUCGGAACCUUGAAUAUCUCAUAAGUCUUUUUUCUCCUUCAAUGUUUUAAUUCAUAUGUUUAUUCUUUUUAUUUUGGCAUUUCAUUAGUGUGGUUAAUGUAUUUCCCUGUUUAACACGUUGCUUUUGACAACUUGUAUAUAAUAUAUGGAAAAUUAACUACCAAAGGCUUGAUCAGAUUAUCCGAUCUAACUAAUGAUAUUUAGAAGGAAAAAAAAUCAUCAAACAAUAACAACAACAAGCAUCAAAAGUAUCACGAGGGGAGGAAAAAGGCGAAAGUAAUAUUAUAUUAUGCGAUCUAUCGGAUGAGAUUUUACAAAAUAUUUUAUCCAAUCUUACAACAAAAGAAACUGUUAUAACAAAUAUUUAGAUAUAAUAUUUGUGGCCACAGUUUCUUUGAUUGGAAGGUUGGAUAAGAUUUUUUGUAGAGUCUCGGCCAAUAGAUUGCAUAAUCUAAUAUGAUAUUUAUUUCUCCUUUUCCUCCCCCUUUUUAAUCUUUUUGGUGGUUGUUGUUGUAAUUGGUCAAAAGAUGUUUUACAAAAUCUAAUCGGUUAAAUCGCAUAAUCCAAUAAAGCCACCACACCAACUAAUUUUCUAUGUAUUAUAACAUAAGUUGUCAAAAGCAGCAUACUUAAGGGAGAUACAUUAACCACCAGUAAAUUCUAAGGAUAAAUAUAGGAAACAUAGGAAUUAAAAUAUAUAUUGAAGGGGGAAAGACUUGUGACAUAUCAAGGUUCACAAAAUUAAAGUAAGAAAGAAAAAAAAUUAACAUAGGAAUCAAUUAUCUCCAUAUUGUAUCUAGGGUUGAUUAAGACCAUAAAUGUGGAUACAAUAUCUCAAAUUACUUGCGUCUAAGAUACUUGGUAGUAAAGAAUGUAAGUACAUGUAUGCAAGUUAAGUAUGUAAGUAUAUACGAAUGAGUAGAUAUAAGAAUGUACGUAUGUAUAUAGAGGUUUUAGCAUGAAAGUUUUUUUUCUCUCCCAAAGGCGAAGUUUAUGCUGUUACCUUCAUUUUGGAACUCACAACGGAGGAGAAACGCUCACUCACUUUUUAACAUAAACACAAAAAACCUAAGACUCGAAUUUAGUUUCUCGUCGGCCAAGUUGAUGUAGGAAGGCUGGCCAUGCCGGAUUGAAGACGAAGUGACGCAUAAACGGAAAUAGUGCAGAUUUUAUUUUACUAUAUUUUGUCUAGAUUU